rnacentral:rRNA from 1 species
GCGGGACUCAGGCAACUGAGCCCUGGCGGCGAGCGGCGAACGGGUGAGUAAUAGAUAGGAACGUGUCCGGGAGUGGGGGAUAACUAGCCGAAAGGUUAGCUAAUACCGCAUAUUCUCUACGGAGGAGAGCGGGGGAUUCGCAAGAACCUCGCGCUCGCGGAGUGGCCUAUCUCCGAUUAGCUAGUUGGUGAGGUAAAGGCUUACCAAGGCGACGAUCGGUAGCUGGUCUGAGAGGAUGAUCAGCCACACUGGGACUGAGACACGGCCCAGACUCCUACGGGAGGCAGCAGUGGGGAAUUUUGGACAAUGGGGGCAACCCUGAUCCAGCCAUGCCGCGUGCGGGAAGAAGGCCUUCGGGUUGUAAACCGCUUUUAUUCGGAAAGAAGGAGUAGGGACUAAUACUCUCUAUGACAGACGGUACCGGAUGAAUAAGCACCGGCUAACUACGUGCCAGCAGCCGCGGUAAUACGUAGGGUGCGAGCGUUAAUCGGAAUUACUGGGCGUAAAGCGUGCGUAGGCGGUUCGUUAAGUCAGCUGUGAAAGCCCCGGGCUCAACCUGGGAAUUGCGGUUGAAACUGGCGAACUAGAAUCUGGCAGAGGGGGGUGGAAUUCCACGUGUAGCAGUGAAAUGCGUAGAGAUGUGGAGGAACACCGAUGGCGAAGGCAGCCCCCUGGGCUGAGAUUGACGCUCAGGCACGAAAGCGUGGGGAGCAAACAGGAUUAGAUA